CCACCAGGCCCCGCCUCCUAGCAACAGGUCUGCUCAUCGCCCUGAGAUCCAUAGCUUUCCAGAAGCCCUGCCUGUGAGCAUGUGAGGCUCUUGGGGAGCAUCGUGAUCCCCGUAUGAACCGUAACACCACCUCACACUGAAAUCUUUCCAGACGUUACGUUUACCGAAACGACAGCCCUAGGAAACCUAGUUCCUGUUUCUGCUUUUCAGGUCAUUGUCAGAGAGAUCAAAUAACACACCCAGGAGCAUCGCAGCAGACUCCUGGUUCUUCCAAGAUGGCUGGGGAGCAUUUAAACCUGGGAUAUCCAUGGAUUUUAAGAUUCAGUUGGCUGUGAUAUUAACGCAGGAAGAGAGAAGUCAAAGUACGUGGAAACCAUUAGCUAAGAAAACCUUUGCUUUGAGUCACUGGUGUCCGCAUAUCGUCACAGAGUUCACACUGGGCCCCAGCUCCCAGAAUUCAGCAAAUGGAAGGCACUGAGCCUGCCUCAUUGCGGCAGCCUCCCCAGCACGGGUCAGUUACCGGCAUCAGUGUGUCUAACGCUCUCCAGCUCCCCUGCUCAGCUGUGGAUGAAGGGGGACCCCUGUCCCGGCACAUGGCGUCUCACCUCCUUACAAAAUUAAUACACUGCAGGAGGAUCUCACACUUCAUUGUAGAGCAGGCUUUUCAUGAGGCACUUCUGCCCAUGGUAGGCCCACGCAAGCACUCUGGGGGCUUUAUGUUACACUGGCCCGAGCUGUGCUGUUCCCUAGGCCAGGUGUCUGAAAUGUGCUUUGGCUUACUGCUAUUUUCAGCCUACAGUGAAUUUACUGGGACAAAACUUCAUCAUGAGCAGAGAAACACCCGCAGCAGUUACUUGAAGGGAGAGCAAAGUCUCCCUGGCCAGAGUCAACCUCAGCUGGAAAAAUGAGCUUACCAAAUUUUAAACUGCAGAGAGAGCUAGAAUGUGUGGAGCACAGCAAGAACUCCCAAGCCAGGUGUGGGGAAGACACGUGGUUUCUAUAGGUGUGAAGGUGACGCCUGUCCAUAGCCGACGUCAUCCAGGGGACCUCUCUUCCCAGUUUCCUGAUGAAGGUGACCCCACGGAAAUCCUGUCACUCACUGUGACUGUGACUGGGGCCGGUUCCCUGAGCAGAAUCAAAGAGGGACACAAACCGUUAUACACAUAAGCACCGCACCUACCUGAGUGCCUCGUUUGCAUGUAUUAAAUACCUUGACGUUCGGAAUAAACUCCUGCAGAUGUUUGGCU